CCUAAGACAGAGCCACCGACCACCGACCGUGAGCUCAUCUCUGUGAGGGACACCCACCUCUGCCUCUAUCUUAGCUCCCCACACACACUUAGCAAGAUGCUCAGAGAAAGGGAGGCUGGAUGCUCCGAGGGACGCUCUGAGACUGGUGGAGCCCUGGCUGGUUGUACCUUGAAAAGGGGAUGCACAGCAGGCAGCUGGCGGUACAUGGCGAUACCAAACACCUCAGACACCAGAUGCGUGCGCAGAAGGUGGGUGAUCGUUUGAUGGACGUGGAAGUCACUGGAACGCACCCAGAUUUUGGCCAAAAGCCAGUCGUACUUUGAAUCCGUAGGGAGGAAGAUUGGGUUACUCUCUCCAGGGGUUUGGUUGAGCUGGUGCAUUAGAGAAAGAGAACGCUCCACUUUAUUUCUCAUUGGGAGCUGUGGGAGAACUCUGGGGAAGUUCCACAAGAAAGCAAACAUCAACCGGCCAUGACUUUCAGAUCACAAAAAGCACGUGGGGAGUGGUGGAGGGCCCUAGUGACAUGUCUUUUGACCUGUUUGUGAGCUGUAGGUUCCUUGUCUGUAACUUGAGGACAGUGGUACAGACCUCGGGGAAGGAGCGAGCAGCUGCAAGGGUCGGUGACCUGUGCCCUCCCCAGAGCCUGGCAUCCUCCAGCUUACCACUUCUGCUCAGCAGUGCCCUCCAUCCUCCUCCCUGACAGACACCCUGACCUUGAGUGCCGUGCUCCUUCUGGACCAAGGCUGGGGCUGCAUGCUGCCCAGUUCCCUUUUGCUCCAGCUGCAAAUCAGGAUUUGCUGCUGGAGCCCUGCUCUGAGCCCUAACUCUGAAACCAGGUACCCAGGGGCCCAGCUUGCGUUUGCAUUUCCAGUUUCCUUGCUUGGGUCAUGUGAUUUUUCUCUAAAAUGUAAAGAAAUUUGUUAUCUGUUCUUUAAAAACUCAUUUCUUUAAAGCCAGAAAGAUAAGGCCCCUGAGCAGAGUUAGCUGCACCCCCCUAACUAAUCUGGAAGAUGGUUUUGCGGUUUAAAUGUGAUGUCCCGGUAGGCUCGUGUGUUUGAACACUUGAUCGCUAGCUGGCAGUGCUGUUUUGGAAGAUUUGGAACUUUUAGGAGCAGGAGACUUGGGCUUGGAGGUUCCACAUACUGGCCCCACUUCCUGUCUAUUUGCUUCCUGAUUAUGAAUGGAACCAACCACUUCCUAUUUCUACAGCCAUGCCUCACCCUCUGCGAUGGACUGUAUUCCCUUAAACUGAGCACCAAAAUAACUCUCCCUUCCUUAAGUUGUUUUCAUUAGAGAGGUUAUAAGCACCUUUCUGAUUUGUCUCUCCAUCCAAAGUAGCACUAGCCAAUAGAAAUAUAAUGCAAGCAGCACAAAUUCAAAUUUCUAGGAGGCCACCUUUUUUUAAAUUACAUUUUUUUUUUUUUAGUCAGCCAUAUUUUUUAAAAGAAAAAAGAAAUACGUAACCCCAGGGUAAAAUAUUUACCUCACCCACUUUUCUUUUCUUUACUUUUCUUUCUUUCUUUCUUUUUUAAUCUUUGAGAAUUUUAUUUAUUUAUUUUUUAAUUAGGUAUUUUCUUCAUUUACAUUUCAAAUGCUAUCCCAAAAGUCCCCCAGACCCUCCCCCCACUCCCCCCCCCACUCCCACUUCUUGGCCCUGGCAUUCCCCUGUACUGAGGCAUAUAAAGUUUGCAAGACCAAGGGGCCUCUCUUCCCAAUGAUGGCCGACUAGGCCGUCUUCUGCUACAUAUGCAGCUAGAGACACGAGCUCCGGGGGUACUGGUUAGUUCAUAUUGUUGUUCCACCUAUAGGGUUGCAGACCCCUUUAGCUCCUUGCCUCACCCACUUUUCUACAACACAAAACCAUUCUGAAAUAGUCCUGGCAGGUUUCAUUCUUUUACUCUUCUUCUAAGUCUUUGGGUUAUGGACACUAAGAAUUUACUCCGGGUCUUGGUUUGGAUUAAGUGCGUCUCGAGAACACCAGAGCAAGGAGUACUGCGUCCUAAGCUUCCUAAGCCACUGUGCUGUGGGGGAGGUGGCAGGACUACUAGGGAAGCAGCUCUCCCCUACCGCCUGAGGAUGAGCAAGGAGGCCAGGGAGACACUCCUGACCCCCACAGUAUCCUUCCCACUUGUUCGCUAAUGGAUUUGUCCUCUACCUUUAGGAGAGAAUUUCAGAUUCCUUAAGUGAUCAGGUUUAAGUCAGAAGUCAGCACAUGUGUCCUCAGAGGACAACAGGCUUGCCGUUUCCAGAGGGUCCUAGUGAGCAAGGUUCUCAGAGGACUGCUCCUCACAGUGAUCGCUCUGUUUCCAUAGCUGUGUGGCCCACAGACAGCCACCCUGUGGCCUGCUUCCUAGAGCACACGGGCCACCUGUCCUACUCAGGUAUCCUCAGGCACUGAGUCCAGAGACUUUCUGCUGUGUCGUAAGGUUUGACGUAUGUGUCAUCACAAAAUCCUCACCACAGCCUGACCAACAGUUCUUCCUCAUCCUUCCUAUUUUGCAAAGAGAUAAAGUGUGAGGUUCUGAGUGACUCAGCCUCUCUCCAGGCCACACAGAGGUCUGGAUGGAGCUAAGUAGGGAUGCUCUGUUGCUUUGCCUGCUGUAACUCCAUCACCCUGCAGUUCCUUCCUCUCUGUCUGACCAUGCCACACAGGGGCUCCCAUGGUGAGCUUUUAUACAGAGCAUGCCACACCUCCUCCCACCCCUCCAGACUUGUCCUUGUCCCAGCUCUUCUAGAAUAUGCCCAGGACAACGUGCUUGCAUUAUUUUAAAUGCUUUUGAAGGAGGCCAUCUUUUGUUUCUGAGUAGAAAAUAAUAUAUGAUUAUUAUUGUAAACUACUCCAGCAUUUACAGAAGAGUCCAAGAACUAGUGAGAAUGUACCUCUUGUCCAGCCACAAGAGGUCGCUGCUUCCCUAGGUCUUUGCAUAUGUGUGUAUUUGUGUUUACUUUUCAUAAACAGAACCUUAUUAUGAGGAACUUAGACCUAUCCUUACUAUCUCCAACCUGUUCUGUAUGCAGCGUGGUGACCCUGUGUCCUGUGUCUCACCAAGCCAACACCAAUGUCUACCCAUGUAAAGCAUAUGGUUUGUGGCAUGCUGUGUUCUUGCAUUCAUUUUUGCAUAAAUGAGCUGAUAUCAUCCAUAUUCCAUGUUUUGCUUUUCUGCUUUGGUACUAGCCCUGGGAAGGGCCAAGUCAGCUGAGAGCAGAUGCAGUCCUCUUUGAAGGUGUACAGUGCUGUAGUGUUUCCUGCUUUGGACACGGUCCCAUCCCCUCAACCUCUCCUAUGUUCUGUCUGUCUGCAGCCUCACACCCAAGCCAGAACCAUGAUCUCCAUCCUCUAGCAUGUUGCUCUGUUGAUCCUCAAAAAGGCUGGUUCAGUUCAGUCUUGGCAGAGAACCUCUCAGCACUGCUUUCAAUUGUCCUGGCCUUGCCAGCCUCAACACGGAGACCCAUGGGCCUUCUUACAGCCCAGCCUAGAAUCCAUCUGUUACAGCAGCUGUGGGCCCUGUUCAAGGGUUGUCCCAGUAACUGCAGCUACCACUGCCCUGGGGUGCAUUAAUUCUCCUGGGCAGCUAUAGAGAAAGGGUUAACCAUGUCCUGUGGCUUGUCCAAUGCCUAAUUCCUGCUAACAAUGGAAAGAGCUGAGAUUUGAGCCAGGCCUCUGGCUCUAAUAAAUACAUGUCUGGGACAUGCUAUUUCAGAACACCUGUCAGUGGUAAUCCAUCCCUCUCCUGGCAUCUUUCAGUGGUGAUUUCCCACAUCCCCUGUGCCUUCAUUUGAUGCUUCAGCUUCUUACACAUAGAGCUUUCUCUGAUAAUAGGCUCAGGACUCCUGGAGUGCAGAGGGGUGGGGGUAUAGAUAUGCAGCUAACUGAUUUGAUUAAUUAGUUAAACAAAUUGACACUGGGCACCACUCUGUAGCCCAGGCUGUCCUUGAACCGACAGCCUGGGAUUAUAAACAUAAGUUAAACUUCAGGCUUGAGACAGCUGGCUUGAAUUUCAGCUCCGUGGCUGGCUAACUAUGAGCACCUGUACCUUAGUCUCCUUGCAUGGGUAAGAUGGUUGAGAGCAGUAAGGUGACAGUUACACAAAUGGAGACAGAUGCUGUGUGAGACCCAAUGAUCAUAGGCUCCAGGAUCCAGAAUAUUUAGGAUGCCAGCGAUAUACACGCUUCUUUAUGUGCCAAGUCCCUCCUCCAGGUCUGAGACAACAGAAGGUAUUUUAUAUCUACAGUCAACACAGAGAUGUUUCUGCAGUGACCCAUUCGGGAAUCAUAUUGAACAGAACAAAAGCUCUAAACUACUUCUCCUCUGGUUCAGAGGUCUAUUUGAAACUAAUACAGUUGCUGGAAAAUUUAAAAUGUGUCACAGUUUUACCGCUUCUUGGUCUUUUGGCCAAGCUCAAGCAUAGUGUCUGUUCUUAGGCACUUAACAUACAGCAGUUUUCAUGAUUUCUAAGCUUUCCCAGGCAAAGGCUUUUAGACUGUGUAGACACCAGCAUAUCACUGAUAUUAUUCCCAUUACCCAGUGUCACAGACUUUCCAUCCCCAUGAGACUGCUCCCGUGGCCCUCCACUGUCCUCGGGGCUGCAAGAAUCUACUUGUAUGGAAGACAAUGUUCCAGGACUGGUGAGGUCUCCGACACAGCUCAGUGGCUUCUGUUUGCAACUUCACCCCUAGCUUCACCCAUCUGGCUUGUGUGGGCAUGUCAAUUUGGAAACAGUCGUCAGGAGGUGGUAGGAGGAAAAGCAGGUCACUGCAGGACAAGCCCUCCCCAGUGCUUAGCCUCAGUAGGGAAUGUCUCAAAGGUACCUGGGAAAGGCACUGUCUGCCGUGGUGUGGACAGCCUUCUCAUGGCAGCAGCGACCCCCAGUAGCUCAUUUUUCUCCCCCACCCCAGGGAAAGCUGGAGUGAGAGCUUCUGGUGCCUCUCAGUGGAGUGGAUGGUGCUGCCCCAGAACCCCCACCACACACACACACACACAUAGCCCUAGAGGUACAAGUCGUACAGAAGGGCUGGGGCUGAGCAGCCACCUACCUGGAUGGCAAUGGGAACAAUCUUGUUGGCUAGGUUCUUAUAUAGCAGGCAGAUGGGGGCAGCCAGGAACUGGUGUGUACAGGGGUCAGUUUUGUUAGCAUCGAUGCCAUCCAGUAGCUCGUAAUCAACGAUGAAAAUGUUCCCUUCCUGCAGGAGGCAGCCAAAUAUAUUCAAGCUACUUGAAGCAGAAACGGACCCGGGAGCCAGGCCAGGGGUGGGAUGUGACUGACGGUCUUCAGGACAUGUGCACCACACCCACAUGCACGCACCUUCCCUGUAACUUGGUGUGUAACAAACACUAGAAACUGUUUUAGUAAGAGUGGACGAUUCUUCAUGUGACCACGUAGUAACUAAAUGCAGGACGACAGCCUGCUACUCCUGCCUUUGUCACACCCCUGCAGACUCUGCAAGUCAGCCUGCUGGUCACUGGAAGAGUCUGUCUAACCUACUUUCCUCUCUUCAAGGCCAAGGGUACAAAGGUGAAAUCUUUGGACCGUAUAAACACACCAGCAGCUUCCUUACUAACCCCAAAGCUGAGACUACCACCAGGUAACUCUCACCCCAAAGCUAAGACUACCACCAGAUUUGUCUUGCUGAUCCCACCACAUUCAAUUCACUCUGACCAAAUAGACCCUUCAGUGAAAUAUCGAACAGAAGCAGCACAAGUGGGUGUCCUAUCAUUUCUAGAUCUUGGGGAAAAGCACUUUGUCUUGGGAGUUUUCCAUAGACGUUCUGUAUUGUGUUGAGGACAUUCUCUUCAAUUCCAGUAUUUUGAAUGUUUCAUUAUGAAAGAAUGUUGAGUUUUCUCAAAUUCCUUUUUGUGUAUCUAUAUUAUAUAUUUUAUAUAUGUGUAUAAGUACUUUGGUUCAUUUUUUACAUAUAUAUUAGAUUAACAAAGUUUUGAAUGUUCAAAAGCACUGUAUUCCUAGGGAAAAAUCUUAUUUGUUAAUACCAUAUGAACUUGGCUUGCUAAUAUUUUGUAGAAAAUAAUUGCAGUUGUAUUUUUGUGAGGUAUUUGUGUAUUGCUUUAUUUUUUAAUGAUGUCUUUGCCUAAUUUUUGUACAACAUUGGUACCAUACGAUAUGUUGGAAAAUAUUGCCUUUUCACCUAUUUGUGGGAAUAUAUAUAUAAGAUUGAUAUUAAUUCCUUAAUGUUUGCUAGAAUUUACUCAUGAAGCUAUCCAAGCUUUUAUUUAUAGGACAUCUGAAAAUUGUUAAUUAAAUUAUAUUGCAUGGGAUUGGCUUAUUCAGAUUCUCUAUUUUCUUAAAAAUAUUGUAUUGUGUUUGUGGUAUGUAUGUGGGUGUCUGUGUGCAUCUAUGUUCAGGCAUGCACACACAACACUGUGUGUGGAGGUCAGAGGUCAACUUUUGGGAGCUGGUAAUGGCUUUUCACCUUUUGGGGUUGUUUCUACUGCUGGGCUCUGUAUUCCAGGCUGGCUGCUCUUUGUCACCACCACCAUCUUUCUAGUAGUGCUAGGAUUACAUCCUUAUGUUUAAUUUGAAUAAUUUGGACCCUUUUUUCUUGAUCACGUCUAGUGACUUUUUGAUGCUGUUGUAGAUUAUGUAUCACUUUUAUAGUUAAAAUAUUACAUGAAGACAUACAUAGUUGAGGCAGCCCAUACAAUAAUGGGAAAGGCGACUCACUCUCUUGGACCCAUUCUCCCCAAGGAGUCUUUUCUUUGACCCCCUUCACUCUGACUGCCUGAAGGCGGAGGUAAGAAUAUGGUCCAUGUGACAUUGGCAAGCUUGUCUCCUACCAUGGUCCUCCUCCAGAAGGGGCUACUCACGGCCACUUGGUCCAUGCCACAACUCACCGAUACUGUU